GAUGAACGCUGGCGGCGUGCCUAAUACAUGCAAGUCGAGCGAACAGACGCGGCUCUUGCUCCUCUGACGUUAGCGGCGGACGGGUGAGUAACACGUGGAUAACCUACCUAUCAGACUGGGAUCACUUCGGGAAACCGGAGCUAAUACCGGAUAAUCUAUUGCACCGCAUUGUUCAAUAGUGAAAGACGGUUUUGCUGUCACUUCUAGCUGGAUCCGCGCCGCAUUAGCUAGUUGGUAGGUUAACGGCUUACCACGGCAACGAUGCGUAGCCGACGUGAGAGGGGGAUAGCCCACACUGGAGGUGGAACGGGGUCCAGACGCCUAAGGGAGGCAGCAGUAGGGAACGUGCCGCAGUAGGCGAGAGCAUGACGGAGCGACGGGGAGUGAGAGACAGAGGUGUUGGGAGCGGAAAACUCGGUUACGAGGGAAAAACAAAUGUGUAAGGAACCAUGCACGGAGUGACGGUAACUAAUAAGAAAGCAACGGCUAACUACGUG
rnacentral:rRNA from 1 species